CGUGUGCUUACAAGUAGUCAGAGCCCGUUAAUGGGUGAUGGCGUGCCUUUUGUAGAAUGAACCGGCGAGUUACGAUUUGAUGCAAGGUUAAGCAGUAAAUGUGGAGCCGUAGCGAAAGCGAGUCUGAAUAGGGCGUUUAGUAUUUGGUCGUAGACCCGAAACCAGGUGAUCUACCCUUGGUCAGGUUGAAGUUCAGGUAACACUGAAUGGAGGACCGAACCGACUUACGUUGAAAAGUGAGCGGAUGAACUGAGGGUAGCGGAGAAAUUCCAAUCGAACCUGGAGAUAGCUGGUUCUCUCCGAAAUAGCUUUAGGGCUAGCCUCAAGUGAUGAUUAUUGGAGGUAGAGCACUGUUUGGACGAGGGGCCCCUCUCGGGUUACCGAAUUCAGACAAACUCCGAAUGCCAAUUAAUUUAACUUGGGAGUCAGAACAUGGGUGAUAAGGUCCGUGUUCGAAAGGGAAACAGCCCAGACCACCAGCUAAGGUCCCAAAAUAUAUGUUAAGUGGAAAAGGAUGUGGCGUUGCCCAGACAACUAGGAUGUUGGCUUAGAAGCAGCCAUCAUUUAAAGAGUGCGUAAUAGCUCACUAGUCGAGUGACACUGCGCCGAAAAUGUACCGGGGCUAAACAUAUUACCGAAGCUGUGGAUUGUCCUUUGGACAAUGGUAGGAGAGCGUUCUAAGGGCGUUGAAGCAUGAUCGUAAGGACAUGUGGAGCGCUUAGAAGUGAGAAUGCCGGUGUGAGUAGCGAAAGACGGGUGAGAAUCCCGUCCACCGAUUGACUAAGGUUUCCAGAGGAAGGCUCGUCCGCUCUGGGUUAGUCGGGUCCUAAGCUGAGGCCGACAGGCGUAGGCGAUGGAUAACAGGUUGAUAUUCCUGUACCACCUAUAAUCGUUUUAAUCGAUGGGGGGACGCAGUAGGAUAGGC
rnacentral:rRNA from 1 species